AGUCGUGGCUCUUUUGAUCUGCAGUUGAAUUGCUGGAGACCUUGGGAAGUGUCCAGGCUUUAACAGGAGCAGUGUCCUUUGCUCUGUCUUCAGUUGAUCAGCUUUCUACUGACCCCAAAGCCCAGGAGAAGCUCAGUAUCAUUUCAGGAUUUUGAAGAACAGAUCAUCUCCUUUUGCAGUUACUCCAUAAGCAGCUACUGCAGUCAAAGCACUGUUCCAAGGCUGUUCUCAGUGGAUGCUGCCAAUUUAUCCUGGAAGAAUACAAGAGACAGCUCUGCAGCUUCGUGACAAAGGUUUAAUUCAGCUUCACACAGCCCUGAUUUCAAUUUACACAGAGAUACCCUGCUCCAGUCACUCCGUGUUUCUUAUCAGGGCAGAUUCCACGUUGGCUGAAUAACUUGUUAUGAAUCUCCUGCAGCUGCCUCGAGUCCUGGUAACCACAACCAACUUUUCUAAUAAACAUCUCCCCACGUUCUGAACACUCA